UAGGCCUGAGCGUGGCUCCAUUCUUCAGGCUGCCCGAUGAGAUGGGCCCGCAGGGCUUGCAGGUGGUGAUUCAGGUGAAACGCGGUCACGAAGGUGGGCCCUAAUCUGAUAGAACUGGUGGCCUUAGAAGAGAAAAGGCAGUCUCUCUCUGCAUCACGUGAGGACACAGUGAGAGGGCUGCUAUCAGCAACUCAGAGAGAGAGGAGUCCUCAUCAGAGGCUAAUCAUGCUGGCACCUCAUCUCAUACUUCUAGUCUCUACAACUAAGUGAAGAACUAUGUAACAGAAGAGUCACAUGAUGGACGAAGCCCAGAUCCCUGCAUGAUUGUUUGGAAGAAAGCUACCCAUAAGCACGGCAACUGCACUGGACUUUGCACGAUUAAAACUAGAAAAAUACAAAGACUGGUGAAGGUGGUAAAUUUAACGGAUAUUUUAGUACAAUUAAUUUUUCGGGGAAAAACGGAUCACUUGUACACAUAUUAUGUAUGUACUUGUACUGGAGCCUUCAACUCUCUUCAGAACAUUUUCUACUUCAAUUCUGCUUGAGGAAUAUCUAAGGGGAAAUUUGGGCACGGGGAGAACACCGUGUGAAGACAAAGGCAGUGAAUGUAGUGCUGGGUCUACAAGCCAAGGAAUGCCAAAGAGUGUCAACAAAACCACCAGAAAGUGGGACAGAGGCACGGGGCAGACUGUCCUCACAGCUCUCAGAAGGAACCGACCCUGCCCACACCUUGAUCUUGGACUUCUGGACUCCAGAGCCGCGAGAGAACACGUUUCUGUUGUUGAGGCUGCUCAGCCUGCAGCACCAUUACAGC